rnacentral:rRNA from 1 species
AACGAACGCUGGCGGCGUGCCUAACACAUGCAAGUCGAACGAAAACUUCCUGUCUGGUGGCUCACGGGUUGGUAACGGGGUGAGACCUGCGUUUGUGAUCUGAAUAACUCCCCGGGAUGGGUGCGGAUACCUGAGAAUGUUUUCGGACCAAAGAUUUAUAGCAUUUGGAUGCUGCCGCGUUGCAUUGGCUAGUUGGUAGGGUGAAGGCCUACCAAGGCGACGAUCCAUAGUUGGUCUGAGAGGAUGAACAGGCAGACUGGGACGGAGACGCGGCCCCGACUCGAACGAGAAGCAGCAGUGGGUAAUAUUGGACAAUGGGCGAAAGCCUGCUCCAGCAAUGGCGCGUGAGUGAUCAAGGCGUUAGGGUUGUAAAGCUCUAUUAACCGGGCUGAUAAUGACAGUACCGGGAGAAUAAGCUCCGGCUAACUACGUG